rnacentral:rRNA from 1 species
UACGGGGGGGGCUAGCGUUGUUCGGAAUUACUGGGCGUAAAGCGCGCGUAGGCGGACCUGCAAGUCGGGGGUGAAAGCCCGAGGCUCAACCUCGGAACUGCCUUCGAUACUGCGGGUCUCGAGUCCGGGAGAGGUGAGUGGAAUUCCUAGUGUAGAGGUGAAAUUCGUAGAUAUUAGGAAGAACACCAGUGGCGAAGGCGGCUCACUGGCCCGGUACUGACGCUGAGGCGGCGAAAGCGUGGGGAGCAAACAGGG